CGUAAGGACGGCCUUACGCGUUCGGAAUCAACGGGGACGACCCCA
rnacentral:ncRNA from 1 species